rnacentral:rRNA from 1 species
CCGAGAUUCCCCCAGUAGCGGCGAGCGAACGGGGAGGAGCCCAGAGCCUGAAUCAGCAUGUGUGUUAGUGGAAGCGUCUGGAAAGGCGCGCGAUACAGGGUGACAGCCCCGUACACAAAAGCGCAUGUGCUGUGAGCUCGAUGAGUAGGGCGGGACACGUGGUAUCCUGUCUGAAUAUGGGGGGACCAUCCUCCAAGGCUAAAUACUCCUGACUGACCGAUAGUGAACCAGUACCGUGAGGGAAAGGCGAAAAGAACCCCGGCGAGGGGAGUGAAAAAGAACCUGAAACCGUGUACGUACAAGCAGUGGGAGCACAGGUUUACCUGUGUGACUGCGUACCUUUUGUAUAAUGGGUCAGCGACUUAUAUUCUGUAGCAAGGUUAACCGUAUAGGGGAGCCGGAGGGAAACCGAGUCUUAAUUGGGCGUUAAGUUGCAGGGUAUAGACCCGAAACCCGGUGAUCUAGCCAUGGGCAGGUUGAAGGUUGGGUAACACUAACUGGAGGACCGAACCGACUAAUGUUGAAAAAUUAGCGGAUGACCUGUGGCUGGGGGUGAAAGGCCAAUCAAACCGGGAGAUAGCUGGUUCUCCCCGAAAGCUAUUUAGGUAGCGCCUCGUGAAUUCAUCUCCGGGGGUAGAGCACUGUUUCGGCUAGGGGGCCAUCCCGGCUUACCAACCCGAUGCAAACUGCGAAUACCGGAGAAUGUUAUCACGGGAGACACACGGCGGGUGCUAACGUCCGUCGUGAAGAGGGAAACAACCCAGACCGCCAGCUAAGGUCCCAAAGUCAUGGUUAAGUGGGAAACGAUGUGGGAAGGCCCAGACAGCCAGGAUGUUGGCUUAGAAGCAGCCAUCAUUUAAAGAAAGCGUAAUAGCUCACUGGUCGAGUCGGCCUGCGCGGAAGAUGUAACGGGGCUAAACCAUGCACCGAAGCUGCGGCAGCGAACGUAUCACCCAAGACAACUUUACGGAGUUGACGAUUGACGGAGCGAAGCGACGUCAAAGCGUUCAUUAAAGUCGAGUUGGCUUAGGGAUACGUUCGUUGGGUAGGGGAGCGUUCUGUAAGCCUGUGAAGGUGUGUCGUGAGGCAUGCUGGAGGUAUCAGAAGUGCGAAUGCUGACAUAAGUAACGAUAAAGCGGGUGAAAAGCCCGCUCGCCGGAAGACCAAGGGUUCCUGUCCAACGUUAAUCGGGGCAGGGUGAGUCGACCCCUAAGGCGAGGCCGAAAGGCGUAGUCGAUGGGAAACGGGUUAAUAUUCCCGUACUUGGUGUUACUGCGAAGGGGGGACGGAGAAGGCUAUGUUGGCCGGGCGACGGUUGUCCCGGUUUAAGCGUGUAGGUGUGUGUUCCAGGUAAAUCCGGUU